rnacentral:rRNA from 1 species
CAGUAGCCGCGGGAAAACGGAGGGUGCGAGCGUUACCCGGAAUCACUGGGCGUAAAGGGCGCGUAGGCGGCAUGUUAAGUCUGGUUUUAAAGACAGGGGCUCAACCCCUGGAGUGGACUGGAUACUGGCACGCUUGACCUCUGGAGAGGUAACUGGAAUUUCUGGUGUAGCGGUGGAAUGCGUAGAUACCAGAAGGAACACCAAUGGCGAAGGCAAGUUACUGGACAGAAGGUGACGCUGAGGCGCGAAAGUGUGGGGAGCGAACCGGAUUAGAUACCCGCGUAGUCCCUGUCUCUUAUAA